rnacentral:rRNA from 9 species
AGUUGUUGUAUUUUAGGAGGGUGUGGGAUACUUUCCCCCAUUUAACUAGCUUACAGAAUAAUUUUUUUUUUAUGUCUCAACGAAUCCGGAAAGAUUGCCUCAGUUCGGAUUGUUCUCUGCAACUCGGGAACAUGAAGUUGAAAUCGCUAGUAAUCGCGGAUCAGCAUGCCGCGGUGAAUAU